rnacentral:rRNA from 1 species
GAUGAACGCUGGCGGCGUGCCUAACACAUGCAAGUCGAACGAAGCACCUUACCUGAUUCUUCGGAUGAAAGUUUGGUGACUGAGUGGCGGACGGGUGAGUAACGCGUGGGUAACCUGCCCUGUACAGGGGGAUAACAGCUGGAAACGGCUGCUAAUACCGCAUAAGCGCACGAGGAGACAUCUCCUUGUGUGAAAAACUCCGGUGGUACAGGAUGGGCCCGCGUCUGAUUAGCUGGUUGGCAGGGUAACGGCCUACCAAGGCAACGAUCAGUAGCCGGUCUGAGAGGAUGAACGGCCACAUUGGAACUGAGACACGGUCCAAACUCCUACGUGAGGCAGCAGUGGGGAAUAUUGCACAAUGGGGGAAACCCUGAUGCAGCAACGCCGCGUGAGUGAAGAAGUAUUUCGGUAUGUAAAGCUCUAUCAGCAGGGAAGAUAAUGACGGUACCUGACUAAGAAGCUCCGGCUAAAUACGUG